AGUGAACGCUGGCGGCAGGCCUAAUACAUGCAAGUCGAACGGCAGCACAGCAGAGCUUGUUCUGUGGGUGGCGAGUGGCGGACGGGUGAGGAAUACAUGGGAAUCUGCCCAGUCGUGGGGAUAACGUAGGGAAACUUACGCUAAUACCGCAUGCGCCCUUCGGGGAAAGCCGGGGACCUUCGGGCCUGGCGCGAUUGGAUGAGCCCAUGUCGGAUUAGCUAGUUGGCGGGGUAAUGGCCCACCAAGGCGACGAUCCGUAGCUGGUCUGAGAGGAUGAUCAGCCACACUGGAACUGAGACACGGUCCAGACUCCUACGGGAGGCAGCAGUAGGGAAUAUUGGACAAUGGGCGCAAGCCUGAUCCAGCCAUGCCGCGUGAGUGAAGAAGGCCCUCGGGUUGUAAAGCUCUUUUGUCCGGAAAGAAAAGCGCCGGGUUAAUACCCUGGUGUCCUGACGGUACCGGAAGAAUAAGCACCGGCUAACUUCGUGCCAGCAGCCGCGGUAAU
rnacentral:rRNA from 1 species